CAGACAAUAAGUUAAUGAAACUUCUUAUUUUGGAAAUAAAAAUUCACAAUUAUGUGUUGCCUGA
rnacentral:tRNA from 1 species